AAGGGAGACCUAAUUCAGGUAGGAGACGAAAAAAAAGUAGUCGCUACCAAGAAUCAAUCCCAAAAGGUCGGAGCGAGGCGAAAUUGGCUUUCAAACUAGGUUCUGGGUUCACACAGGACCUGAAUCAGGAACAAGGGCUAUUAGCUCAGGUGGUUAGAGCGCACCCCUGAUAAGGGUGAGGUCCCUGGUUCGAGUCCAGGAUGGCCCACCUGUACAGGUGGCAAAAAGAAAGAAAAGAAGCGAGGAAUCAGCACCUUAUCUUACUGACAUAGUAAGAGAGAAUGCUGGCUCUGAGUAAAGAGUCCAGAGGAACCUUGAAAACUGCAUAGAGCUAGGUGAAAAAGCCAAAAAAGAAGACCGCAA
rnacentral:tRNA from 1 species